GUGUCAGCAGCCGCGGUAAUACAGAGGGUGCGAGCGUUAAUCGGAAUUACUGGGCGUAAAGGGUGCGUAGGUGGUUAAUUAAGUCAGAUGUGAAAUCCCCGGGCUUAACCUGGGAAUUGCAUAUGAUACUGUUUAACUAGAGUGUGGAAGAGGGAAGUGGAAUUUCCGGUGUAGCGGUGAAAUGCGUAGAUAUCGGAAGGAACAUCAGUGGCGAAGGCGACUUCCUGGUCCAUUACUGACACUGAGGCACGAAAGCGUGGGGAGCAAACAGGAUUAGAUACCCUGGUAGUCCACGCUGUAAACGAUGAGAACUAGAUGUUAGAGGGCUUCGGCUUUUUAGUAUCGUAGCUAACGCGAUAAGUUCUCCGCCUGGGGAGUACGGCCGCAAGGUUAAA
rnacentral:rRNA from 1 species